UACGUAGGGUGCGAGCGUUGUCCGGAAUUACUGGGCGUAAAGAGCUCGUAGGUGGUUUGUCGCGUUGUCCGUGAAAACUCACAACUCAAUUGUGGGCGUGCGGGCGAUACGGGCAGACUGGAGUACUGCAGGGGAGACUGGAAUUCCUGGUGUAGCGGUGGAAUGCGCAGAUAUCAGGAGGAACACCGGUGGCGAAGGCGGGUCUCUGGGCAGUAACUGACGCUGAGGAGCGAAAGCGUGGGGGGCGAACAGG
rnacentral:rRNA from 1 species